rnacentral:rRNA from 1 species
GUGAGGAAUAUUGGUCAAUGGGCGAGAGCCUGAACCAGCCAAGUCGCGUGAAGGAAGAAGGAUCUAUGGUUCGUAAACUUCUUUUGCAGGGGAAUAAAGUGCAGGACGUGUCCUGUUUUGUAUGUACCCUGAGAAUAAGGAUCGGCUAACUCCGUGCCAGCAGCCGCGGUAAUACGGAGGAUCCGAGCGUUAUCCGGAUUUAUUGGGUUUAAAGGGUGCGUAGGUGGUUUGAUAAGUCAGCGGUGAAAGUUUGCAGCUUAACUGUAAAAAUGCCGUUGAAACUGUCGGACUUGAGUGUAAAGGAGGUAGGCGGAAUGCGUGGUGUAGCGGUGAAAUGCAUAGAUAUCACGCAGAACUCCGAUUGCGAAGGCAGCUUACUAAGCUACAACUGACACUGAAGCACGAAAGCGUGGGGAUCAAACAGGAUUAGAAACCCUGGUAGUCC